GGCCUGAAGAAACAUCCAUCUGAGGCCAAUUCUAAUCCUCCCAACCUCAUAUGGGACAGAAUAUUAGACUAAUGAAUCAUGAAUUACCUAGUAUGAGUAGAAUUCAUGCCCAAGGCUUGUUUAGGAGUCCAGAUCUCAGUGAUACCAUUUGAAAUUAAAGGAGGACAAAAAGGUGAGCAAUAAAGACAUAUAAGGAACAAAAGCCUGAAAUGAUUCUAUAUCUCAAAAGCAAGAAAAUGCAGUCAAAGCUCUCUCAAAGCAUAAGAUAAACCAAAUGAAAGUAAAAAAAUAAAAACAAAAACAAAAAAACCAGAAUAGAAUAUGACCUCCAGAUAAACUAAAGAGUCUAGAUAUCUACAAAUCAAUAUGACAAAGGAAAAUUGUUUAACCUUUGAUGAGGCAGAAGAACCUGUGGAUUCCAAAGAGAGACUGGAUCCACAGCAGUAUGUUUCUGAAGAGUUUAAAAGGGAACUAGGAACUGUGAAAAAAAUUUUGGUCUGAAGAAAUAACUGGCAGAAGAGAAAAAACUAGACUCUACAAUGGCAAAUCUCAUCAAAAAGAGAGAAUAUUUAAUUAGAAACACAAAUACAGGAAAAUAAAGGACAAGCAGAAAAGCAAAAAAGUAUCAUUAGUAUAAAAUGUGAUUUCCAAACAAGCAAAACAUAUUGCUUAAAAAGACAGGUCAAAUGGAGCCAACUUAAAAAUUGUAAGUAUUACAGAAGAACACAAGACAACAUUCCAGACUUGGAGGACAUCCAGAGUAAAUGCAGAGAGACACAAGAUGGAGUACGGUGUGCAGAAACAAAUAACAGGGAGGUCAGUAUCAAUGGAUCUCAGAGCAUACAAAAAAGAAAAAAAAAGGUGCAAGACUGGGGAGGUUAAAAGAACACCAGAUUAAGAAGGGAUUGGAAACCCAAACAAAGGAAUUUACAUUGGAUCAUAGAGGAAAUGGGAAAUCAAUGGAGUUUAUUGAAUAGAAAUGACAACAUCAGACUUAAGUUUUAAGGAAGACUAAUUUAACAAUUGACUUGAGAUCUUAUGGACUGAGGAGUGCCUUGAUACAGAGAAAAUAAUCAGAAGGAUUUUGCAAUAGUCCAGUAGAUGAGAGCUCAUGUGAGGUUGGACACAGUAUCAGUGGAAAAAGUUCUCCUCCUUCGCUUCCUCACUGAAACUAAGACUCCAGAAGGCCUCCGGAAAACUAGCAGAGCCCCAAGAGAAGGAGAUAGGACUUUGAAAGAGAUAAUAAAGGAUUUGGACUUUAACACCUAACUGCACUUGUGGUGACUGCUGCAAUGAAAGCAACCUGUAUAGAGAAGCAAAGGCAAUAAAAAGAGGGAGAAGUAGCAGAUAAAGAUACAGGAACAAAGGAUUCAACAGAAGAAAGUGAACAUCUGAAUUGAUUCAUCAAGGGGUCCAGAUAGGUACAAUUACUGUGUAAUAGUGGUAGAAAGAAAACUUGAAGGUGACAAUAGCUACAAGACUAUUCUGACUUCCCCACCAUAGGGAAGGCAUGAGUGAAAUAAUUAGUACUAUGCCAUCAGGAAAUAGUCAAGUCUCAAUGAUGGAAUAAGAUGGAAUAAUUGAAAAAAAAAAAUGGAGGGGGCAGAAAAAAGUUUGUUAUCUAUGACUUUUGAGAGAUUACAGGAAGAAGGAGGGGGGCAUCUAGGGAUAUAACUUCAGGGUGGCACCUUAGAGGUUCAGUUGAGAUAGGUGGAAAUAAGAGAAAAAAAGGGAGGGAGUCAAGGAAAGCAGGCCUGAAGCAAUGUCAAGAGACUGAUUCAGAGAGACAAAGAUUCUCCCCUCUCCCAGGUGGGCAAGACAACUUUAUAGAGCUAUACAUAUCCAGGAAUACUACCACAAAGUCAACUUGCCAUUUUAUUUAAUACUUUUGUUUUCUCACAUAUCCAUUUGAACAGUCAAAUGAG